UGGGGAAUAUUGGACAAUGGGGGCAACCCUGAUCCAGCAAUGCCGCGUGUGUGAAGAAGGUCUUCGGAUUGUAAAGCACUUUCGACGGGGACGAUGAUGACGGUACCCGUAGAAGAAGCCCCGGCUAACUUCGUGCCAGUAGCCGCGGUAAUACGAAGGGGGCUAGCGUUGCUCGGAAUGACUGGGCGUAAAGGGCGUGUAGGCGGUUUACACAGUCAGAUGUGAAAUCCCCGGGCUUAACCUGGGAGCUGCAUUUGAUACGUGUAGACUAGAGUGUGAGAGAGGGUUGUGGAAUUCCCAGUGUAGAGGUGAAAUUCGUAGAUAUUGGGAAGAACACCGGUGGCGAAGGCGGCAACCUGGCUCAUGACUGACGCUGAGGCGCGAAAGCGUGGGGAGCAAACAGGA
rnacentral:rRNA from 1 species